GGCUGUAAUCUCUUAUGUAUUUUUCGUGACCAGCGUUUGUUGCGCCACCGCUGUAAGCGAACCCGCCGAACCGAACUAAAAUGCAAUAUGGCCGUCUAAAAUCAACAUGGCCGUAGUAAUGAGUUCCGUUCAACAAGCAAAGUAAAGUGAAGCAAAGCUUACGAGCGAAGAAGGAGGUUAUUUCUUACGAACGGAAUAAUUAAAACUGAUGACACCAGUAACUGUUCCAAUGUGUACACCAGCCUUCGACACCAUAUAGAAUAAAGAUGCUGUCAGAGGAGUUAGAUGAGGGAGCUACAACCAAGAAAAAGCAAUCUGUGAUCACAUUACUUAGCUUCGACAAACGAUGACCUAAGUUCAACUGAUUGUAGGCUCUUACGUCCACGUGGAAUCAGCUGCUCCUUUGCAACUUGCAACAGGCUAAGGCUGCGUUCCGAUAUUAAUUGUCAGUACUGAAAAUCUACAGUAUAUGUGACGUAAACUAUAGAUUUUCAGUACUGGCAGUGAAUAUCGAAACGCAGCCUAAGUUACGAAGAAGCAGCUGAUUCCACAUGAACGUAAGAAAGAGGCUACAAUCAGUUGAACUUUGGUCAUCGUUUGUCGAAGCUGAAGGAGAAACAACGUGAUUUAGAGAAUAAGGUGCUCUGUCACAUAGAAUGUAAUUCUAUUAUAAAACAUGUAAUGGUUCCA